CGCUGCCAUUGUCCGAGGGGGUGCGCCUCUAGUCCUAGGGGUGCCUGUUGGUGAUGGAUCCGCUGCUGCUGCGAUGGCCUCGGCUGAGGGAGUCAUCGAAGCCCCCGUCAGCACGGCAGCACAGCUUUCGUAAAGCCUACUCCUGUGAAACACAAUUAGACUUUUGCAGGUGCGGAGUGCAGGAGCGUGGCAAAGGUUGAGUCCCUCACAAGGGAGUGGUGGCGCUUCGAGAAAGCUAAGAGCAAACGUAUCGCAUACCUCUUCGAUCAGCUACACAGUACAGCUGCCACCUACUCCUGCGAUGGCCUACUAAUGCUACGUCAACAGUCAGCAUCACCAAGUUUGACGCAAGCCAUCCGUCGCGAGCUCGGGGCCACGGCUCCAAGGAGUCACGGUCCGCAGGCACACUACGGCUUCACCAGCUCGCUCAUGCACGCCGUGGUCCGGCAAGGGCUUGCAAAUAUGAACAUUCAUCUAACCAUUGGCCAGCACUCUAUCACUGCCACCCCUGUCAUCGCUGGUACU